UACGUAGGGUGCGAGCGUUAAUCGGAUUUACUGGGCGUAAAGCGUGCGCAGGCGGCCCGUUAAGACAGGUGUGAAAUCCCUGGGCUCAACCUAGGAAUUGCGCUUGUGACUGGCGGGCUCGAGUACGGUAGAGGGGGGUGGAAUUCCUGGUGUAGCAGUGAAAUGCGUAGAGAUCAGGAGGAACACCGAUGGCGAAGGCGGCCCCCUGGGCCUGUACUGACGCUCAUGCACGAAAGCGUGGGGAGCAAACAGG
rnacentral:rRNA from 1 species